rnacentral:rRNA from 1 species
AUGUUUGUCUCUUUUCCAUUUCUUUCUUUCUCUCGUGGGCAUUUCAUCAAACAGGUAAAGGGCGCUUAUCAGCGCAUUGCACGCCGCCGGCGGCUCGCUGCCCUUGCUGGUCGACGGUCAUCCGAGACCUGCCGCCGCUGUCAAGCCGCUGGAGCUCCUCUUGCCGCCCUUUCUUUUUCUUCUCCUCCUUCCUUCCUGAUUUCCCUCUCUCUCAAACAGGAGCCAACUGCCAUGUCCGCCGCCAUGGCUGAACUCGAGCUCACCGCGCUGCCGCGACAUCGCCGAGCUGCCCCAGCCCUCUGCUGCGCCUGGAUCCGACUAGUUUCGGUCGGGAACUCGUGCUCGCGGUGA